rnacentral:rRNA from 1 species
UAGUCCACGCCGUAAACGAUGAGAACUAGCCGUUGGGGGCUUCGGCCUUUGGUGGCGCAGCUAACGCGAUAAGUUCUCCGCCUGGGGAGUACGGCCGCAAGGUUAAAACUCAAAUGAAUUGACGGGGGCCCGCACAAGCGGUGGAGCAUGUGGUUUAAUUCGAUGCAACGCGAAGAACCUUACCAGCCCUUGACAUCUUCGGAACUUGGUAGAGAUACCUUGGUGCCUUCGGGAACCGAAUGACAGGUGUUGCAUGGCUGUCGUCAGCUCGUGUCGUGAGAUGUUGGGUUAAGUCCCGUAACGAGCGCAACCCUUGUCCCUAUUUGCCAGCACUUCGGGUGGGAACUCUAGGGAGACUGCCGGUGACAAACCGGAGGAAGGUGGGGAUGACGUCAAGUCAUCAUGGGCCCUUAUGGGGUAGGGGCUACACACGUGCUACAAUGGUCGGUACAGAGGGGUUGCCAACCCGCGAGGGGGAGCGUAAUCUCACAAAACCGAUCGUAGUCCGGAUUGGAGUCUGCAACUCGACUCC